CAGCCGCCACGGGAAUACGGAGGGAGCUAGCGUUGUUCGGAAUUACUGGGCGUAAAGCGCACGUAGGCGGUUAUUCGAGUCAGAGGUGAAAGCCCGGGGCUCAACCCCGGAACUGCCUUUGAAACUAGAUGACUGGAAUCUUGGAGAGGUCAGUGGAAUUCCGAGUGUAGAGGUGAAAUUCGUAGAUAUUCGGAAGAACACCAGUGGCGAAGGCGACUGACUGGACAAGUAUUGACGCUGAGGUGCGAAAGCGUGGGGAGCAAACAGGAUUAGAUACCCGUGUAGUCCCUGUCUCUUAUAC
rnacentral:rRNA from 1 species